CAAUGCCAUCGCUUUAGGGAAAUUGGCGAACAUUGAGUCCCCCCUCACCAUCAUCGGAGGAAACUGUGCCCUACAAGGAUUUGACUGUGAGGGGAACGACCAGUUCUGGACAGACACGGGGGAUAAUGUCUGGUCAUUGGUUAUCUGUGCUUUUACUGCUUCUUGUCAGAUCAGAGGACUUUGACAUUAGGGUAUACAGAUGCACAAUUGAGUGCAUCCUGUCGGG